ACAUGGAAAUCGGUGGGUUGCUCCCGGUUCGGACUGGUUUGCAAGAACCGGGAGUAAAACCAGCAGGAGGCCCCGCCCACCACCCCGGAUGUCAUCAUCAGUGAUCUGCCCAUGUUCAGAAGCGAUCCCAUUGCGAAUCGGUAGUAAAGAAAGCAGAUUGCUGCGCCUCAACUGUGUUACUCCCCAGCAAUAACGCAGAAGAAAUACAGAACCCAUCUGAUUCGGGUGACUGAGGAUACAGAUAAACCCCCAGUGGCCUCAACGACUCUUAAAGAACUACCGACCAACCGUCAGAAUGUGAGAAACCAGAUGACUGCAAAGAAUAUAAAUCCUUCCUUUCCCAUCAGUUAGUUAGAACUGAAGAAGCUUCUUGGAUGAGAAGUGAAAUGUUUUCAAAAGGUAAAAGCUAGAAAAGUCCAGUUGCCUUUUGGAAAAAACACUUUGGGACACCAGCUACAGGAGCUAAUGGGAAGUGAAGAUAUUUUUGGACUGGACUAAAGUUCAUCAGACUUACUGCUCAAAGACUUAAGACGCACUCAGAGAUGAAAAAUGUUAUGAGGAGUAUAUAUGGAAGGAGCUGUGAGUGGAUGGAGUAUGAUGUCAUCCAUUCUUGCACUUAAUAAAGGGGGAUGGUUCACACAGGAGAUGAGGCAAAUCGAAAGUGCAGAUCUAACAUAAGGACAGAAAAGGACCUUUAUAUAAUAUUUUCCAUUUUAAUGUGCAUUAAUACUAUAUAUUAGUCUGAGACCAGUUCUAUAUUCUGCAAAGAAAAACCUGGACUUUUUUUCUCUUAACAUGCAAACUCAGUUUUGGAAUGUGUCAUGACAAAUGAUCAAAGAAGUUGUUCUUUGCAUGCAAAAAAUAUUUUAAGUGGAUGGCUAGAUUCCAACCAGGCUAUAGAAUAGUUAAUACUGAGAAAAUUGGUGGGGCUGCACCUGAUUACAUUUAGAUCCCUCUCUUUAAAAAUGUCCUGAAACUGCAGUAAGGUCCAAAGGGCAUUUUGUUUCACAAACUUAAAAUCUAGAUCGAAGUUCAAUCAAACAUAGGAUACACAGUUGGACUGAGCACAAAAUAUGUGAAUCUGUUCCUGAUGAUAUUUUCUGAGAACAGGGUUACAAAAUACACCAUUGUAACCUUAAGAGAAGCACAUUGCCCUAGAUGAACUUCCACUUCCACUCUGCCAUAGCAGCAAAAAAUCCAGGCAACCACUAUAUGGCAGUAAAAGGUAGAUUUUCCCAUAUCUAUUGGUUAUCUGUUAUCUGGGUUUGUAUAGUCUAGAUCUGAUAGCUGUAAGGAUUGCUGGAUACUCCCUUCCGCCCCUUAGACCUGAGUAUGAUCAGAUUUUACUAAAUAUUGCCCAAACACUAAACAUCAUAAAAUUUCACAAGUAAUUAGACUUGGGGCUUCCCCCCCACCACAACCUGGAUUCCAGUAUUAGUGAAUAAAAUGCAUUGUGUUUAGUCUAAAAGUCUUAAUUUCUAUUACAGAAUGUAUUUAUUCCGUAAUGAAGGAUGUUUAAUGUGGAUAGCAAAGAUAAAAACAAAAAUAAAUAAAAGCAAAACUAAAAACAUCACCUAAGAAUUAUUAAAAGAUGAAUAAAAACAGCGUAUUGAUAAUCCAGCAA